GAGAAGAACGGUAUGAUGCUUGGUUUAUUUUUGUUGUGCCACGCAAAUGUACAAAUGGAAUACUAGACUCAAAGCAAAUGAACGUAGUUUUCAAGACAACUUCACUUGCUCGUUUGGGCAGCCACAACGCACAUUCUACCAAAUAGUUUAACGUUAUUUGAAAAAAAUGUGCUCUCUGGUUAGAGAUCGAGCUUUGGCGUCCAUUCGAGUACUCUAUUCAUGUCCAUCCCUAGAGUGAAGUUGUCAUCUGACUCAGCACUUCCCAGGCUGCCAGUUCUGAUGUCACCCAGUCCCCAUGUCACCACUGAGUCAUUCAGCCCUCAAAGGAAAACCAGAGUGUCUCAAAUGGCACCCCAUACCCUGUUUUAGUGUACUGCUUUUGACCAGGGCCCAUAGGGCUGUGGGGGGAAAUUUGAGCACUCUAAAGGUAAUAGGGUGCAGUUUGAGAUGCAAACAGACGGGAACCGUUGCAUGGACACUGUCACCAUGCAAGCUCAAACCUCCAAGGAACACCCUCGGCUUUCUUUUCCUCUCAGCGUCGGGAGAAUAGUUACAGUAACCAGGCAGAUGAGAGCUGGGUCCUAAUCAUUAGCAAGCAAAUGGAAGAAAACAGACUGAAACAGGGACAGACCAUCUGAACUUGUCCAAUAAGAAACGCUCAUUUUCGUUUUCCAUUACACACUGGAUUAAAACAUUUUGCUGUAAUGACUACAACACCGGCAAGUUGUUUACUAGUACAAAUGCUUUUUCUUUGUCGUUUCUUCCCCCCACUUGAAGCUCAAUCCCCCUGGGGUCCCUCCGCCCCUCUGCUCAAUCCCCUGGGUCCCUCCGCUCCGUCCCUCCCUCCACCCCCUCCCUCUCUCCCUCCCGCCCUAAUUCAUCAAUUCUGAUGGAAAUCAAAAGACUCGUUUGGAGUACAGAACAACACACCAUUACAGGAGAUUGAUCAUGCAUAAUAUCUGCAUCCGCCAUGUUGAAUUAGACACGGAACUGCCAUCAGUCACCUAACACAACACUCACAGCAAUGCUGAAUGGAGCAUUCAGCUUGUCCAACGAAACACCUAUCCCAGAAACAUUUCAGUUGUCUGAAGACUAAAAGAACUUUCCUCAGUUGUGAGGAAUGUUAAACUUAAUUUUGAGCCAAAUAGUUAUUUCAUCAUCCAAAAAGGGAGGUUCAAGUUACCUUCAUAUCCUGGAAAAUGCGAAAACAUUAUCACCGACUAACCAGAGAUUCCUACGAUGAGAUAAAAUACGAGAUUGUAUUGUCCAUUUAUUGUACUUUUCAAACAUGACCGACUCAAGCAGCCUACAUGUUAUUGUUUCCCAUGCUGCUCUUUGAUGUUCUCUCUGUUUCCUCUUCCUCCUGAGCUGGUUUGGAGUGAGUCUAUUACAAACAUGCUGCUCUUUGAUGUUCUCUCUGUUUCCUCUUCCUCCUGAGCUGGUUUGGAGUGAGUCUAUUACAAACAUGCUGCUCUUUGAUGUUCUCUCUGUUUCCUCUUCCUCCUGAGCUGGUUUGGAGUGAGUCUAUUACAAACAUGCUGCUCUUUGAUGUUCUCUCUGUUUCCUCUUCCUCCUGAGCUGGUUUGGAGUGAGUCUAUUACAAACAUGCUGCUCUUUGAUGUUCUCUCUGUUUCCUCUUCCUCCUGAGCUGGUUUGGAGUGAGUCUAUUACAAACAUGCUGCUCUUUGAUGUUCUCUCUGUUUCCUCUUCCUCCUGAGCUGGUUUGGAGUGAGUCUAUUACAAACAUGCUGCUCUUUGAUGUUCUCUCUGUUUCCUCUUCCUCCUGAGGUGGUUUGGAGUGAGUCUAUUACAAACAUGCUGCUCUUUGAUGUUCUCUCUGUUUCCUCUUCCUCCUGAGCUGGUUUGGAGUGAGUCUAUUACAAACAUGCUGCUCUUUGAUGUUCUCUCUGUUUCCUCUUCCUCCUGAGCUGGUUUGGAGUGAGUCUAUUACAAACAUGCUGCUCUUUGAUGUUCUCUCUGUUUCCUCUUCCUCCUGAGCUGGUUUGGAGUGAGUCUAUUACAAACAUGCUGCUCUUUGAUGUUCUCUCUGUUUCCUCUUCCUCCUGAGGUGGUUUGGAGUGAGUCUAUUACAAACAUGCUGCUCUUUGAUGUUCUCUCUGUUUCCUCUUCCUCCUGAGCUGGUUUGGAGUGAGUCUAUUACAAACAUGCUGCUCUUUGAUGUUCUCUCUGUUUCCUCUUCCUCCUGAGCUGGUUUGGAGUGAGUCUAUUACAAACAUGCUGCUCUUUGAUGUUCUCUCUGUUUCCUCUUCCUCCUGAGCUGGUUUGGAGUGAGUCUAUUACAAACAUGCUGCUCUUUGAUGUUCUCUCUGUUUCCUCUUCCUCCUGAGCUGGUUUGGAGUGAGUCUAUUACAAACAUGCUGCUCUUUGAUGUUCUCUCUGUUUCCUCUUCCUCCUGAGCUGGUUUGGAGUGAGUCUAUUACAAACAUGCUGCUCUUUGAUGUUCUCUCUGUUUCCUCUUCCUCCUGAGCUGGUUUGGAGUGAGUCUAUUACAAACAUGCUGCUCUUUGAUGUUCUCUCUGUUUCCUCUUCCUCCUGAGCUGGUUUGGAGUGAGUCUAUUACAAACAUGCUGCUCUUUGAUGUUCUCUCUGUUUCCUCUUCCUCCUGAGCUGGUUUGGAGUGAGUCUAUUACAAACAUGCUGCUCUUUGAUGUUCUCUCUGUUUCCUCUUCCUCCUGAGGUGGUUUGGAGUGAGUCUAUUACAAACAUGCUGCUCUUUGAUGUUCUCUCUGUUUCCUCUUCCUCCUGAGGUGGUUUGGAGUGAGUCUAUUACAAACAUGCUGCCGUCUUUGUCCUGGAUCCACAGCCUCUGAAACAGAUCGAUAACCAGUGUUUAUUUUGAUUGGU